UGAACACACAGACACUACUCAUGGAAUUGUGCUGGGCUUUUCUCUUUUUCCUGUCAGUAACUGAUGGUGUCUACUCCCAGGUCCAGUUGCAGCAGUCUGGAGCUGAGCUGGUGAAGCCUGGGUCUUCAGUGAAACUUCUCGCUACACCUUCACUGAAUAUGAUAUUGACUGGGUAAAGCAGAGGCCUGGACAGGGCCUGGAAUGGAUUGGAGGUAUUAAUACGGAAAAUGGUGAUACUGACUACAAUGAGAAGUUUAAAGGCAGGGCCACAGUGACUGCAGACACAUCCUCCAACACAGCCUACAUGGAACUCAGCAG
rnacentral:lncRNA from 1 species